AGUCUUUAAAGUCGAUUUAUAAUAUAUCAUCCAGUACUGUAAUUCGUCAUCUGAGUCGUUCAUAUAAGGUUCGGAAAAAUUCAGAAAAAUAUAAUUUCAUAUUGUGAUUAUGUCGUGUGAUCUCUUUCCAUAUCAGUAUUAUAGAAACGAGGUAAACAUAUUAUAUUAUUUUAUUAUAAUACAUGGUAAAAAUCACUAGGUAUAUUGAAGUAUUAUCAUUUUACCACAAACAGUCGAAUCGCUUUUGUUUACCCAAAACUACAACAUAUCUGCUCGCGCAACGGUAAUAUAAAUUAUAAUAUAAUUGCGAUGAUUUUUUAUCACAAUAUAAGCAACUUACUAUAUAGUUAUAUAAUAAUAAUAUUAUACGAUAGGAAAGCUAUUAGCUCUUAUUGUUAAUAAUUAUUUAUAACACAGGUCUGAGGUAUGGAAAAAAAAUCAAGGACCGAUGAAAAUUAACUGGUACCGACUUUUCGAGGGCACGAGCGGAAU